rnacentral:rRNA from 1 species
ACUUGGGAGAAUGUAUAGUCCUCUUAUGAGGCUAGUUAUGUUUUUGAGUAGUAAUGCACCAGGAUGGGGUUACACAAUAAAACAUAAUACCAACUACGUUGGAUAAAGUUCUAGAUAGAAUACUGAUUAUGACUAUUUUCUAUCUACAUGUCUUGACCAAAUUACGUGCCAGCCGUCGCGGUAAUACGUAGAAGACUAGUGUUAUUCAUCUUUAAUAGGUUUAAAGGGUACCUAGACGGUAUUACUAACCCAAACAGGGAAAUAGUUUUGCUAGAGUUUAAUAUGAGAAGGCGAGUAUUUACGGAGUAGAGAUGAAAUUCUUUGAUACUUUAAGGACUGGUCAUGGCGAAAGCAACCUUCUAUGUAAUAACUGACGUUGAGGGACGAAGGCUUGGAUAGCGAACAGGAUUAGAUACCCUAGUAGUCUUUGCAGAAAAUGAUGAAUGCCAUAGAUUAGAUUUGUUUUGGUCUAUAAAUGAAAGUGUAAGCAUUCCACCUCAAGAGUAAUGUGGCAACGCAGGAACUGAAAUCAUUAGACCGUUUCUGAGAACAGUAGUGAAGUAUGUUGCUUAAUUCGAUGACCCUCGAAAAACCUUACCACAACUUGAAUGAUGUCAUCUGUAUGUUAAGGUAAUAUAGAUACCUUAAUUAAAGUGAUGUUACAAGUGUUGCACGGUUGUCUUCAGCUAAUGUCGUGAGAUUUUGGUUAGUUCCAUAAAAUUAGCGUAAACCCUGGCUUUAUUUUUAAAUUAUUAUCAUAAAGCAGUUCAUCACUAUAUUGAAUAUAUGAUAACUGGGGAUCAAGACAAAUCAUCAUGGCCUA